GGUGACUUUUUUUUUCUUAAACCCGUCUCUCUGUCUCUCUGUUGUGUCUCGUCUCCUUCAACUGUGUCUCUCUAUUCUCUCUCUCAUGAGCAUCAUUGACGACCGGCGCCAGCGGAGCGCGGUGAAGCCGAUCUAGGAUGCGCUGAACCCGUAGGCCGAUGACAGCAGUGAGGAGGCCAACGAACAGACUGAGAUCCAGAUCUGAGAUCUAAGAUCGCGCCGACGAACAGCGGCGGCUCCGGCCUUCUAUGUCGCAUGAUCUCUUCCUCCGCCGUGCGCCACCGCCGAAAAAGUCAGUCACGGAGGAGGUGACUGCCCUUCCAUAUAGAUCGGAAAGGCUUACCCGACUGCGCCGCCGAUUUCAUCGUCGGCAACCACUCGGCGGGGAGAGUACCGACGUUUACAAAGAGAGCGUCGGGUGAAGUCGGGAAUCUCAUGAAGCGAGUGUAUCAUAGCUGGAAAUGCGCCGGCGGAGAGAAGAGUGUUGGCCAUGAGAUCCAUGGAGACGAAGUUGGUGAUGCAUUGGAAGAGGAGUUUACAGUGCGUGCGGUUAGGGAGAGUUUGGUUGGGGCUGGAGUCGAGGCAGAGGAGUCUCACAUGUUUUCUAGUUCAAGCUCUCCUCGAGGUGUCUUCCUGUAAGAAAUGGACAUAUCACACUCGUUAAGGUGAAUAAUAUGGUUGGUGGAGAGGAUCAGGUAUCUAAGAAGCAGAUUGGGACCGGCUGUAGAAUUGGAGAUCUCUAUGUGGUGGAAAGCCUGAAUCUUCCUCAGUCUACCUCCCUCGUUGCACUUUCAUCUUUUCAGUUAGAUUCUCAGUCGAGUCAGUUUUAUUUAUGGCAUUCUCGCUUGGGUCAUUUGUCUGUUGAUCGCUUGCGGUUUUAGCUCAGCCAGGAUUGUUAGGGAUUUUCGUAUCAGAUAUAUCACUGUAUCUGCGAUGUUUGCGGCAGUGGGGGUUGAUGGAUGGUUGAUGUAGCAGCGGUGUUUGUUAACCACACAGUGAAGAAGGAGGUCUUCGAUCGGUUUUGGGUCGGCAAAGAGGACGCUCUCGAUUUGGUUGGGAUCUUCAUUUGGGCGCUCCUAUGCGAGUGGGAGUUUUAAGGGGUGGCACUUUGUUUGGGGGAAAACAUGGGUGUCGAAGACGAUCCAGAUUUGUUUAGGUCUUCAUUCGAGCGCUCCUAUGCAAGUGGGAGUUUGAGGGUGAACUCCGUCCAGAUGCAUGGAGGUGUCUUGGCGGUUGCUUCGAUUAAGAGGAGGUCGGCGUUGGGUCAACAAUAUAGGGGUGGUGGAGGAGCUUUAGCAGUGGGUGUGUUUGGUGUUUGGGUCGGAAAAGAAGAGGUUUUCCGACCAUGGAAGUGGAAGUGGCAGUGGGUCUUGUUCGGCUGUGGUAGUGGGUCUUGAUCGUCCAUGGGUGUGUCCGGCUUCAGCCAAGGUAGCUUCGGUGCGGCAGAGGUAGAGAUCAAAUCAGUAGUAGGGCAAUUGCGUCUUUUCACAAGAAAGACUUUCCCAGGCACGCUUUCCAUAAUUUUAGGAAAAAAAUUCUAGCCUUUUGACUUCUUUUGUAACUGUUUGACUUUUUGUAUUAAUCUAGAUUAUGCCAAACAACCCUUUAAAAUGUUGAUUGGCAACUUUGAGAUGUUAAGAAUAAAAAAAAUAUGAAAAAUAAAAUGAACCCUAAAAUGAUCCCCUCAUUACUCGAAGUAAACAAUCUAAAACUUUUACAUGUUCACUGUUAGUUUGAAAAAAGAUUGAUAGCUUGAAUUAAGAGACUUGUAUAUUAUAAGGUGACAAUCUAUUGAAAUAUCUAAUACAACUCUCUCUCUCAUAUCUUUUUUAAUUGUCAACCAAUCAUCUUAUUUAUAUAUUAUUACGUCUAGGAACUGAGUUUAGAAAAUAGACUUACAUAUUAUUUUCCUUCAUUUAAUAUCACUGUUAAAAAUUCUGGAGUAACAUAUGUAAAAUCAUCUAAAGCACAACAUUUUUAAUCUUGUGCUUUUAUUGGCACUAACAAUUCCCUUCCAAAAUAAGAAAUUAUUAAAUAAUCCGAGAUUGGUAAUCUCGGCUAGUAAAAAUUUUAACUCACAUAGUGUGGGUCAUCCCUUAUCUCCUACUUACCCAACAAAGAUUCACCAUGUUUUACCCAUAAGAUUUCCUUUAUGCUAUUAAUUUUGACUACCAUACAAGUAAAACCACGUGAUACUCUGGAAACACCCAAUAAUUACGUCAAACUAAAAGCCCUUUCUAGCUAGAUUACCAAUAGGAGCAAUUUGAGCCUUUACACAUAAUCAUCCGAACCAAAAAAUAAUAAUUAAGAGACAUUUCAUCAACAUGUGAAAUGCAAUAACAUCAAAAUAAAAUGGUCAAUUUUAUGUGCACACCAUGAAAGGAAGUUGUAUGUUGGGGUUCUUGUGGAUGUGGGUGGAUAAUCUUUUCUUAAGUACUUCACUCUUGGGUAGGUUCAUGGGAAGCAGUCGAGGGAAGGACUCAGCUACUUCUUUCCUAGUCGUUUGCUCUGGUUCCUCUGGAUGUUGCUGCUGUUUGAUUGAUUUUUGGCUGCUAAAUUUGGUAAGAAAUGUUUUAGUUUUUGUGUGGAGAUAUGUUUUGGAUUAGGUUGCUAUCCCCAGGAGCAUGUGUCUGGGUGAUGAUGAAUAAAGAGACACGGAGGUUAUCUAAGAUUCUAGGUGAAGUUCGAGUGGAAAUAGGUCCAUAUUUUCUGGAUUCACCUCCUGUUCUGGACAAGAACAACUGAUAAUUGCCGAAGCUUAAUGAAAGCACAACAGAUUAUAUUCGUACUGGUUUAACUUCCUGUGAUGCACAAGAUUUGACAGGCAAAUGCUGAGACUGCACUUGUGUCAUGUGCUACACUUGUUCUUUGAGUUGUGCAGUAGAUUGUAGCUCAGGCUCUGACUAAGGUUCUAAUUUUGCUCGUGUUUAAGAUCUCUUCAGAUUGCCUAUGUGAUUUUGCAAUAGUUUACACCCGAGAUUGUCGUUAAGUAACACAUUAUAUUGAAAUGGUUUGGUUGUUCAAAGAAGGAAAAGAAGUUACUAGAAGAAGCAUCUCUUGCCUCAUUAACCUUAGAAAUGCUAAUUGCCAUGGUGAUUCGACACUUGCAGCAACAUCUGUAGGUUACACUAAAGGCCAUUGUAAUAAACACAUUGUUUUAAUUGUGAAUUGACUUGAUUUUAUUUUUAUUACUUGGUGUGUGUCUCUUGUAAGUAUUAUUGUGUUUACACUUAAAUUUUGAAUUGUAAGAACACGUGAUCUAUUGUUGUUACUUAUAUAAUUAGAGUUUUUUUAAUGUCAA